rnacentral:rRNA from 1 species
AGAGUUUGAUCAUGGCUCAGGAUGAACGCUAGCGACAGGCCUAACACAUGCAAGUCGAGGGGCAUCGGGACGUAGCAAUACGUUGCCGGCGACCGGCGGAUGGGUGAGUAACGCGUAUGCAACCUACCCGUAGCAGGGGGAUAGCCCGUUGAAAGACGGAUUAAUACCCCGUAACACAGGGGCUCCGCAUGGAGAUUAUUGUUAAAGGGUCAUUUCUUUUUCAGGGAUGGUCCGGCUGCGGAUGGGCAUGCGUUCCAUUAGGUAGUUGGUGUAGGUAACUGCUCACCAAGCCGACGAUGGAUAGGGGAACUGAGAGGGUGGACGGCCACACUGGGACUGAGACACGGCCCAGACUCCUACGGGAGGCAGCAGUAGGGAAUAUUGCGCAAUGGACGGAAGUCUGACGCAGCGACGCCGCGUGAGCGAUGAAGGUCUUCGGAUCGUAAAGCUCUGUCCUUGGGGAAGAAGGCGAAAGCUUGACGGUACCCAAGAAGAAAGCCCCGGCUAACUACGUGCCAGCAGCCGCGGUAAUACGUAGGGGGCGAGCGUUGUCCGGAAUUACUGGGCGUAAAGGGUGCGUAGGCGGCCCUUUAAGUCGGAUGUGAAAGCCCGCGGCUUAACCGCGGAAUGGCAUUCGAAACUGGAGGGCUUGAGUGUCGGAGAGGGUAGUGGAAUUCCCAGUGUAGCGGUGAAAUGCGUAGAUAUUGGGAGGAACACCAGUGGCGAAGGCGACUACCUGGACGAUAACUGACGCUGAGGCACGAAAGCUAGGGGAGCAAACAGGAUUAGAUACCCUGGUAGUCCUAGCCGUAAACGAU